rnacentral:tRNA from 1 species
GGGCCCGUAGUGGUAACGGUAGAACACUGCAUUCGCAUUGCAGGAAUGGCGGUUCGAUUCCGCCCGGGUCCA